CAAGGCACUGUACAUUAUUACAUUUAGGAAUGUAGUGAAGUUUAAAAAAAACAACUCUCCCUCUCUUUUUCCACCGUCUGUCUUCUCCAAUAAAAUGCUUUGCUAACAGGCCACCAGGACACUUGUUCACCCCCAGACUCCUUGCUCUCUCCUGGGUACAGGCCUAGCUGGGUCCCCCUGUCUCCCAGCACCAUAGAGACAUGAUUGAAAAGGCCUCUGUGCCAAAAGCCCAUCACAAUGCCUGAGGGGGCACACAUUCAUGGAUGAGUGCCCUGCCAAUGGCCUGUUGAUUGAUUCUGUUAAAGAGGCUUAUAAAUGUGUGUUACGCUGCUGGAGGAGAGAGAGAGAGAAAGAGAGUGUUGUCUAUAGUGUAUAGAAGAGGACAGGCCAUACCACAGAUAUCUUAUUAAAUUAUAUAUGUAAUUCUAUGGGCCACACAAUCUAACUUGCUACUAGCCAUUCAGGCUUGAUUGAGUGUCGACUUGGAAUUCAGUAGCAAUAUUUAAUAUACAGUACGUUCUGUUUGUAUUUGGCCAUUUAAUGUCAACAGUCAGCAGCACGCUCUUCAUGGGUUAACUGGUACUUCCUGUCACUGUCAAACGUGGCUUUCUGCAGGCACUCAUUACUGCUUGGAUUGAAAGCUUGGGCUCUGAAGACCUUCUACUGUAAAUGCUAUCUCCUUUUGUUUAUCAUGUAAUUAGCAGGAUUGAUAACGGCAGGAUAGCUAGGUAGUUUAAUGGAAUCACAACGCAUUGUGGAUAUGGAAAUAGCGCCUUUUUUAUUUCUCUGUCCCGCUAUUUAUUUGUCUGGUGUAGAUGUUGCCAUGGUAACCAACACAGGAAAACGUGCAGGAGUACCAUGUUAGACGGUAGCAGGUAGCAGGCAGGAUUAGUGUUUACAGUAGUACCACCUUAGACAGUAGCAGGUAACAGCAGGAUUAGUGUUUACAGUAGUACCACCUUACAGACGGUAGCAGCAGGAGUAGUGUUUACAGUAGUACCACCUUAGACAGUAGCAGGUAACAGCAGGAGUAGUGUUUACAGUAGUACCACCUUAGACAGUAGCAGGUAACAGCAGGAGUAGUGUUUACAGUAGUAACACCUUAGACAGUAUUAGGUAACAGCAGGAGUAGUGUUUACAGUAGUACCACCUUACAGACGGUAGCAGGUAACAGCAGGAUUAGUGUUUACAGUAGUACCACCUUACAGACGGUAGCAGGUAGCAGCAGGAUUAGUGUUUACAGUAGUACCACCUUACAGACGGUAGCAGGUAGCAGCAGGAUUAGUGUUUACAGUAGUACCACCUUACAGACGGUAGCAGGUAACAGCAGGAUUAGUGUUUACAGUAGUACCACCUUACAGACGGUAGCAGGUAGCAGCAGGAGUAGUGUUUACAGUAGUACCAUUAACAGACGGUAGCAGGUAGCAGCAGGAUUAGUGUUUACAGUAGUACCACCUUACAGACAGUAGCAGGUAGCAGCAGGAGUAGUGUUUACAGUAGUACCACCUUAGACAGUAGCAGGUAACAGCAGGAGUAGUGUUUACAGUAGUACCACCUUAGACAGUAGCAGGUAACAGCAGGAGUAGUGUUUACAGUAGUACCACCUUAGACAGUAGCAGGUAACAGCAGGAGUAGUGUUUACAGUAGUACCACCUUAGACAGUAGCAGGUAGCAGCAGGAGUAGUGUUUACAGUAGUACCAUGUUACAGACAGUAGCAGGUAGCAGCAGGAGUAGUGUUUACAGUAGUACCACCUUACAGACAGUAGCAGGUAGCAGCAAGACUAGUGUUUACAGUAGUACCACAUUACAGACGGUAGCAGGUAGCAGCAGGAGAACACUAGUACCACCUUACAGACAGUAGCAGGUAGCAGCAGAACUAGUGUUUACAGUAGUACCACCUUAGACAGUAGCAGGUAGCAGCAGGAGUAGUGUUUACAGUAGUACCACCUUAGACAGUAGCAGGUAGCAGCAGGAGAACACUAGUACCACCUUAGACAGUAGCAGGUAGCAGCAGGAGAACACUAGUACCACCUUAGACAGUAGCAGGUAGCAGCAGGAGUAGUGUUUACAGUAGUACCACCUUAGACAGUAGCAGGUAGCAGCAGGAGAACACUAGUACCACCUUAGACAGUAGCAGGUAGCAGCAGGAGAACACUAGUACCACCUUAGACAGUAGCAGGUAGCAGCAGGAGUAGUGUUUACAGUAGUACCACCUUAGACAGUAGCAGGUAGCAGCAGGAGAACACUAGUACCACCUUAGACAGUAGCAGGUAGCAGCAGGAGUAGUGUUUACAGUAGUACCACCUUACAGACGGUAGCAGGUAGCAGCAGGAGUAGUGUUUACAGUAGUACCACCUUAGACAGUAGCAGGUAGCAGCAGGAGAACACUAGUACCACCUUAGACAGUAGCAGGUAGCAGCAGGAGUAGUGUUUACAGUAGUACCACCUUA